CCUACGGGAGGCAGCAGUGGGGAAUAUUGCACAAUGGGCGCNAGCCUGAUGCAGCCAUGCCGCGUGUGUGAAGAAGGCCUUCGGGUUGUAAAGCACUUUCAGUCAGGAGGAAAGGUUAGUAGUUAAUACCUGCUAGCUGUGACGUUACUGACAGAAGAAGCACCGGCUAACUCCGUGCCAGCAGCCGCGGUAAUACGGAGGGUGCGAGCGUUAAUCGGAAUUACUGGGCGUAAAGCGUACGCAGGCGGUUUGUUAAGCGAGAUGUGAAAGCCCCGGGCUCAACCUGGGAACUGCAUUUCGAACUGGCAAACUAGAGUGUGAUAGAGGGUGGUAGAAUUUCAGGUGUAGCGGUGAAAUGCGUAGAGAUCUGAAGGAAUACCGAUGGCGAAGGCAGCCACCUGGGUCAACACUGACGCUCAUGUACGAAAGCGUGGGGAGCAAACAGGAUUAGAUACCCUGGUAGUCCACGCCGUAAACGAUGUCUACUAAAAGCUCGGAACCUCGGUUCUGUUUUUUCAAAGCUAACGCAUUAAGUAGACCGCCUGGGGGAGUACNGCCGCAAGGUUAAAACUCAAAUGAAUUGACGGGG
rnacentral:rRNA from 1 species